rnacentral:rRNA from 1 species
AGCAGCCGCGGUAAUUCCAGCUCCAAUAGCGUAUAUUAAAGUUGUUGCAGUUAAAAGCUCGUAGUUGAAUUUCGGGAUCAAUCUGCCGGUCGUGCCUCCGGUAUGCACUGGUUUUAUUGGUUUCUCCCUUCUGACGAAUCAUGAUGUCAUUAAUUUGGUGUCAUGGGGAAUCAGGACUGUUACUUUGAAAAAAUUAGAGUGUUUAAAGCAGGCUCACGCUUGAAUACAUUAGCAUGAAAUAAUGAAAUAGGACGUUUGACCCUAUUUUGUUGGUUUCUAGGAUCGACGUAAUGAUUAAUAGGGAUAGUUGGGGGCAUUAGUAUUCAAUUGUCAGAGGUGAAAUUCUUGGAUUUAUUGAAGACUAACUACUGCGAAAGCAUUUGCCAAGGAUGUUUUCAUUAAUCAAGAACGAAAGUUAGGGGAUCGAAGACGAUCAGAUACCGUCGUAGUCUUAACCAUAAACUAUGCCAACUAGGGAUCGGAUGAUGUUAUUUUUUUAAUGACUCAUUCGGCACCUUAC